GGUCUGUGUGUUAGCUGGGAGGAGUGACGUGCAGUCACUUCCUCCCAGCUCUGUGAUGUAAUCACAGGGGGCCCAGUCGCGCUGUUAAAGCGCCCAGCGCUGACCGGGCCCCUCCACAUCCAUCGGGUGGCCGUGACAGCAUGGGCCACCCGAUGGACCCCUCCAUAUGCGGCCGCCGGCUCGCACCCGCCCGCUCACCCAAUCUCUCAAAAUUAGAAAAUCCCUACCGCCCACCUGGAAUCCUGAAACGCCCACUAGUGGGCGGUAGGGACCAGGUUGAUGAUCCAUGAUUUACAAUGUAGAGUCUGAGCAGGACUGGGGACAGCGUGGCACUGAGCAAUGACAGCUUGGCCAUUCUACAGAAAC